AUUGAACGCUGGCGGCAUGCCUUACACAUGCAAGUCGAACGGCAGCACGGGGCAACCUGGUGGCGAGUGGCGAACGGGUGAGUAAUGCAUCGGAACGUGCCAUUGAGUGGGGGAUAACGUAGCGAAAGUUGCGCUAAUACCGCAUAUUCUGUGAGCAGGAAAGCAGGGGGACCGCAAGGCCUUGCGCUCUUUGAGCGGCCGAUGUCAGAUUAGCUAGUUGGUGAGGUAACGGCUUACCAAGGCGACGAUUUGUAGCGGGUCUGAGAGGAUGAUCCGCCACACUGGAACUGAGACACGGUCCAGACUCCUACGGGAGGCAGCAGUGGGGAAUUUUGGACAAUGGGCGCAAGCCUGAUCCAGCCAUGCCGCGUGAGUGAAGAAGGCCU
rnacentral:rRNA from 1 species